CUUUAUUUCAUUCUCAUUAAAACUUUGCUGAGAAAUCUAAGGUAUUGUCUAAGCUUCACAUCUAAAUAAAAUGAGUCAGGAUUAUUUAAUAUAACUAAGUAUGUUUUCUGUUUUUGUUUUCUGCAAAAAGGUUUAUUACAGGAAAAUUAAUGUACUGGUGUAGGGCCAUAUAUAUGGGAAAUUGAUGCCAUAUAUAUUUGUAUGAACAGAGAAAUAGAGAGGAUAUAAAGAAGCCAUUGUAAGGAACAUCCUCUACCAGUAUAGUUUGGCAUCUUCUAUUAUUGGAUGACUACUUAGAGGAUGAAGUGACUGAUCCAGGCUAAUAUAGCCAGUACAUGUCAGAAGAAAAACAUGAUCCCAGGCCUUCUUGGAUAUGAACUGCAAGAGCAAAAUAUGAGAAGUGAUGAAAAGCUGUGGUCACAGAAUCUGAGAUAAUGAGUUUGAUAACACCACCCAAGAGAAUUCAUCAGAAUCACGGCAGACCUGAGAAAGAACAUAAGAUGUGUUCAACUCCGGAAGAAUGUCACCUUGAUACUGUGUGGAAUUGCUCAUUGAGUUGAAUAAGGAUGUUACUAAAAUAUGGAAGAAAAGCUCAUUUUUGUAAUGGGAAGUGAAAGCAAACAAUCUUCUUAAGAAAAUGGAGAAGGGCUGGCCCUAAAGAAGUGUUGAAGAUCUACUACUUUAAUAUGGACCACAAUUUACUACUGAUAUGAAAAUCAGCAAUUUUGGCAUCUCUGACUUGGAAACAAGACUAGUGAAGCAGUGAAUAAAAAGCAGGCCUUGGCACCA
rnacentral:lncRNA from 1 species